CCUAACCGUGCGAAGGUAGCGUAAUCACUUGUUCUUUAAAUGAGGACUAGUAUGAAUGGCCCCACGAGGGCUGCACUGUCUCCUUUUUCCAAUCAAUGAAACUAAUCUCCCCGUGAAGAAGCGGGGAUAACCCUAUAAGACGAGAAGACCCUAUGGAGCUUUAAACAACUGAAACAUUUGCUUCUCCCCUGACCUCUCUUGAGCUCUUUAUUUCACUUAAGCAUUUUUAUUUCUAGUUUUAGGUUGGGGUGACCGCGGAGCAAAACUAAACCUCCAUGAAGAAUGAAUAUUUUUAAGCCACAAACUACUUUUUUAAGCAUCAACAAAUUGACCUUCAUUGACCCAAUAUAUUGAUCAACGAACCAAGUUACCCUAGGGAUAACAGCGCAAUCUACUUCAAGAGCUCAAUUCGACAAGUAGGUUUACGACCUCGAUGUUGGAUCAGAGUAUCCUAGUGGUGC
rnacentral:rRNA from 1 species